rnacentral:rRNA from 1 species
GAUGAACGCUGGCGGCGUGCCUAACACAUGCAAGUCGAGCGAACCCUUCGGGGUGAGCGGCGGACGGGUGAGUAACGCGUGGGUAACCUGCCCUAUACACACGGAUAACGUACCGAAAGGUACGCUAAUACGAGAUAACAUAUUUUUAUUGCAUGGUAGAAAUAUCAAAGCUCCGGCGGUAUAGGAUGGACCCGCGUCUGAUUAGCUAGUUGGUAAGGUAAUGGCUUACCAAGGCGACGAUCAGUAGCCGACCUGAGAGGGUGAUCGGCCACAUUGGAACUGGGACCCGGUCCAAACUCCUACGGGAGGCAGCAGUGGGGAAUAUUGCACAAUGGGCGAAAGCCUGAUGCAGCAACGCCGCGUGAGCGAUGAAGGCCUUCGGGUCGUAAAGCUCUGUCCUCAAGGAAGAUAAUGACGGUACUUGAGGAGGAAGCCCCGGCUAACUACGUGCCAGCAGCCGCCGCAG